rnacentral:tRNA from 1 species
AUUGUAAACAGCUCUAGGAGCACUUAUUUUGCAAAAAUAAGAGUAGAAAUUAUUUCUUUUACAAUU